rnacentral:rRNA from 1 species
GUAGGGAAUAUUGCGCAAUGGGGGAAACCCUGACGCAGCGACGCCGCGUGAGUGAUGAAGGCCUUCGGGUCGUAAAGCCCUGUUGCAGGGGAAUAAAAAAAUGAAGGUACCCUGUGAGGAAGGAUCGGCUAACUUCGUGCCAGCAGCCGCGGUAAGACGAGGGAUCCUAGCGUUGCUCGGAAUCAUUGGGCGUAAAGAGGGCGUAGGUGGCUUGGUAAGUCAGGUGUGAAAGCACAGGGCUCAACCCUGGAAGUGCAUUUGAUACUGCUGAGCUUGAGUGUCGGAGAGGUUACCGGAAUACCUGGUGUAGUGGUGAAAUACGUAGAUAUCAGGUGGAACACCGGAGGCGAAGGCGGGUAACUGGACGAACACUGACACUGAGGCCCGAAAGCGUGGGGAUCAAACAGGAUUAGAAACCCGGGUAUCC